rnacentral:SRP_RNA from 2 species
GCUGGGUGCGGUGACGUGUACCUGUAGUCCUAGCUACUUGGAAGGCUGAGGUGAGAGGAUUGCUUCCACCCAGGAGUAUGAGGCUGCAGUGAGCUAUGAUCAUGCUACUGCACUACAGCCUGGGUGGCAGAGCAAGACCCUAUCUCUA